rnacentral:rRNA from 1 species
CAGUAGCCACGGGAAUACGUAGGUGGCAAGCGUUGUCCGGAAUUAUUGGGCGUAAAGCGCGCGCAGGUGGUUUAAUAAGUCUGAUGUGAAAGCCCACGGCUCAACCGUGGAGGGUCAUUGGAAACUGUUAAACUUGAGUGCAGGAGAGAAAAGUGGAAUUCCUAGUGUAGCGGUGAAAUGCGUAGAAAUUAGGAGGAACACAGUGGCGAAGGCGGCUUUUUGGCCUGUAACUGACACUGAGGCGCGAAAGCGUGGGGAGCAAACAGGAUUAGAUACCCGAGUAGUCCCUGUCUCUUAUACC